UACGGAGGAGGCAAGCGUUAUCCGGAAUUAUUGGGCGUAAAGCGUCCGUAGGUGGCGUGUCAAGUCUGCGGUCAAAGACUGGGGCUUAACCCUGGAAAGGCCGUGGAAACUGACGAGCUAGAGUGCAGUAGGGGUAGAGGGAAUUCCCGGUGUAGCGGUGAAAUGCGUAGAGAUCGGGAAGAACAUCGGUGGCGAAAGCGCUCUACUGGACUGCAACUGACACUCAGGGACGAAAGCUAGGGGAGCGAAUGGG
rnacentral:rRNA from 1 species